GCCAGGUGGCAUAGUGGUCCAACGUGAUAGAUUGGAAAUCUAUCUCCUUCAGAGGCGUCUGUUCGAAUCAGACUGUAGACU
rnacentral:tRNA from 1 species